CUUCUUUUUCCCCGGAGCUUGCUCCACCGGAAAAAGAGGAGUGGCGAACGGGUGAGUAACACGUGGGUAACCUGCCCAUCAGAAGGGGAUAACACUUGGAAACAGGUGCUAAUACCGUAUAACAAUCGAAACCGCAUGGUUUUGAUUUGAAAGGCGCUUUCGGGUGUCGCUGAUGGAUGGACCCGCGGUGCAUUAGCUAGUUGGUGAGGUAACGGCUCACCAAGGCGACGAUGCAUAGCCGACCUGAGAGGGUGAUCGGCCACAUUGGGACUGAGACACGGCCCAAACUCCUACGGGAGGCAGCAGUAGGGAAUCUUCGGCAAUGGACGAAAGUCUGACCGAGCAACGCCGCGUGAGUGAAGAAGGUUUUCGGAUCGUAAAACUCUGUUGUUAGAGAAGAACAAGGAUGAGAGUAACUGUUCAUCCCUUGACGGUAUCUAACCAGAAAGCCACGGCUAACUACGUGCCAGCAGCCGCGGUAAUACGUAGGUGGCAAGCGUUGUCCGGAUUUAUUGGGCGUAAAGCGAGCGCAGGCGGUUUCUUAAGUCUGAUGUGAAAGCCCCCGGCUCAACCGGGGAGGGUCAUUGGAAACUGGGAGACUUGAGUGCAGAAGAGGAGAGUGGAAUUCCAUGUGUAGCGGUGAAAUGCGUAGAUAUAUGGAGGAACACCAGUGGCGAAGGCGGCUCUCUGGUCUGUAACUGACGCUGAGGCUCGAAAGCGUGGGGAGCAAACAGGAUUAGAUACCCUGGUAGUCCACGCCGUAAACGAUGAGUGCUAAGUGUUGGAGGGUUUCCGCCCUUCAGUGCUGCAGCUAACGCAUUAAGCACUCCGCCUGGGGAGUACGACCGCAAGGUUGAAACU
rnacentral:rRNA from 1 species